rnacentral:tRNA from 1 species
GAGGGUAUAGCUCAGUGGUAGAGUGCGUGCUUAGCAUGCAUGAGGUCCUGGGUUCACUUCCCAGGUCCUCC